rnacentral:rRNA from 1 species
AUUGAACGCUGGCGGCAUGCCUUACACAUGCAAGUCGAACGGCAGCACGGAGCAAUCCUGGUGGCGAGUGGCGAACGGGUGAGUAAUAUAUCGGAACGUGCCCAGUCGUGGGGGAUAACGUAGCGAAAGCUACGCUAAUACCGCAUACGAUCUAUGGAUGAAAGCGGGGGAUCGCAAGACCUCGCGCGAUUGGAGCGGCCGAUAUCAGAUUAGGUAGUUGGUGAGGUAAAGGCUCACCAAGCCGACGAUCUGUAGCUGGUGUGAGAGGACGACCAGCCACACUGGGACUGAGACACGGCCCAGACUCCUACGGGAGGCAGCAGUUGGGAAUUUUGGACGAUGGGCGAAAGCCUGAUCCAGCCAUGCCGCGUGCAGGAUGAAGGCCUUCGGGUUGUAAACUGCUUUUGUACGGAACGAAAAGACUCUUUCUAAUAAAGAGGGUCCAUGACGGUACCGUAAGAAUAAGCACCGGCUAACUACGUGCCAGCCGCCGCGGUAAUAC